UACGUAGGUGGCGAGCGUUGUCCGGAAUUACUGGGUGUAAAGCGCGUGUAGGCGGGAGGUCAAGUCUGUCGUGAAAUCGCUCGGCUUAACUGGGCGGGGUCCAUGGAAACUGGUCACCUGGAGGUCGGUAGAGGCAAGUGGAAUUCCCGGUGUAGUGGUGAAAUGCGUAGAGAUCGGGAGGAACACCAGUGGCGAAGGCGGCUUGCUGGGCCGGACCUGACGCUGAGACGCGAAGGCGUGGGGAGCGAACGGG
rnacentral:rRNA from 1 species